GACGAACGCUGGCGGCGUGCUUAACACAUGCAAGUCGAACGGAAAGGCCCUGCUGUUGUGGGGUGCUCGAGUGGCGAAAGGGUGAGUAACAUGAGAGUAACCUGCCCUUGACUUUGGGAUAACUUCAGGAAACUGGGGCUAAUACCGGAUCGGAGCCCCUGCGGCAUGGUGGGGGUUGGAAAGUUUCGGCGGUUGGGGAUGGACUCGCGGCUUAUCAGCUUGUUGGUGGGGUAGUGGCUUACCAAGGCUUUGACGGGUAGCCGGCCUGAGAGGGUGACCGGCCACAUUGGGACUGAGAGACGGCCCAGACUCCUACGGGAGGCAGCAGUGGGGAAUAUUGCACAAUGGGCGGAAGCCUGAUGCAGCAACGCCGCGUGCGGGAUGACGGCCUUCGGGUUGUAAACCGCUUUCGCCUGUGACGAAGCGUGAGUGACGGUAAUGGGUGAAGAAGCACCGGCUAACUACGUG
rnacentral:rRNA from 1 species